rnacentral:lncRNA from 1 species
CUCGGGUAUUACACUAAAAGGAUGACUUCAAUAUGUAAAAAUACAUAAUGUGCAGAAGGCACAAGUCACAUGGUUGUCAAAAUAAGUCCAUCAACAAAUAAUUAUAUGGUGUAAUUAGAUCCAGAGUAAUUCAUUCACUAAUGUUUACUUUACUACACCAAAUAAUGUAAUUGGUUUCAUUGUAUGGAACCAACUCAUGAAUCAAGAAUUCAUAAUGGCUCGAAUUACAGACAAGUUAGAGUAGUGCUACCAUUAACGGUGAAUGUAAAAGAUGUCAAUAUAAUAAAUAGCGAAACUGAAAAAAGAGUAGACCAGAGAAAAGGAAAAAAUAGAAAAUAGUAUUUGAGGCCUCCAUGGAAUAAUGAUUGGCAACUAAACCGCCAAAAAAAUCUACAACCUCAUACGAUUGAGCUUUGUAUUCAGUAUUAACAAAUCAUUGUCAAGCUGCCUUCUUUGACAAGCCAGAAAAGCAUGAGUCCAAGGCAAAAGAGAAAUAAAAUCAAGAAGGAAGAACGGGCGAGUCAGUGUAGAAUCUUGAUACCUCUGUCACUGUGUAACAACGACGAACACAAGGGAAGCUUAGCAAAAAUGGGCGAAAAAGGUAAAAAAAACAUCUAAGAAGUAAAGACCUCUAAUAAAACAAAUGGCAGCAAAGGAUAAGCAUAGCAAACCUGUAGCUUCAUUGUCAUUUUUGUUAAAGCCUGUAAUUUCUCAAAUAAGUCUCUAGAAGCCUUUGAUUGACUGUUAGACAUGUACCCAGAGCAAUUAACUACAAGCUUUAUGAAAUAAUGUCUUAUGAAAUUACUCUACAUUACUGAAUUAAUGCACCAAUACAGUUUUUCAAGAAGAUAAAGAUAGUGGGUUACUUGAAUUUAUAGAAGAGAAACCCACCAAUCAUAACAAAUGAGAAGCACGCUGCAAGAAGCACCACCAAAAACCUGCAUAACCCCAAUUUAAGAUUCAUUCUAUCAAGUAAUAGAUUGACAUUGUCAAGUAGACGCACUUUAGGAGAUCUGUCAAAAGAAAUGUAUGAAACAACAGAUUGGCAGAGUUCAGCAAUACUAAACCUCCCUUGCGUGAUUUUUUAACCUAUUUUAAGUAUACACGUGUUGACCAAAACCCAUUCCUUUCUCUACUACUAAAUUAAGAGCUUCUCAUUUCUGAUGGCUCAAACAUGUUGAUUACACAUAAUUGUAGUUAGUUAUACUGAAUCUAAUAAUAAUUGUUGUUAAUUAGCACCUAUAUAUGACAACUAUUAUAAAUUUGGUUGUGGCUUGAUAGUCAACUAUAUGCAAAUGUAAUAGAAUAUAACAACGUACCCACCAUAACAGCCCCCACCAUCUAGGGCUUGAUUGUAAAAUGUAAACUUUAUUUUGUAUUUUUCUAUAACUGAUAUAACAGCCCUGCAACUGAUGUAACAGCCCCUUAGUUUUGGCCUUUGGGCAUCAUAAUUGCUAAAGAUAUUAUAUAAGGCUAGAGAUCAAGCAUAAAAAGUUAAAAUUAUACACAAUUAAGAGGAAAAAAUUACACCAAGGGGGAAAUUCACUUUACUUACGUGGCAACAUUUUUCUCAAGUUGUAUGUUGAAUAAAUAAAGUAAUCGUGAAAAGUUCCAUCUGAUAUCUUGUAAUGAAGGAAAAGAUACAUCCAACUGAAGAGGUGUGGGCUUAUUCAAGGAAUUAAAUAUACAAGCAAAAGGAAAGCUUGCCGUCACAGAUGUUCGAAUGACAUGAAAGAAUAAGUCUUGGACCAUAUUAAACACUGUAUUGCCGGAAUUUGGUUGUAUCAAUGUGACCAGGAAAUAAGAUGACAGACAGGCUAUCGUGAGUUUAGUUUGUGGACCCAGCACAUGCUGUAAUGCAAAUAUAAAUCAGUUUAAAUAUUUGUGGUUGCAACAAGCAUGAUAUGCGUAUCAACCUAUAACUAAAUGGAUAUGAGCAAAUGUGUCUUACUCUUUUUAUAUAAAAGAAUGACUUGUUAAAAGAGAUUAAGAAAAGGAAGAAGUUACAGUGGAAGAGGACCAGGAGCCCUCUUAAAAGACUAAAUAAGUAAAAGUUAAUUAUAUAGUACAGCGUUCCAAUCCCUCUGGAUAUCAUAAUCUCUAUCACCUUGAUAUGACCCUCUAGUAAAAAAUCAUUACAAAAUAAAGUUAUAUUCUCUCUUUAGAUUAGAAGAAAGGACAAACUUGACACUAAAAGACACUUGGAUUUCUCUCCAAACAAAUACCAAAGAACCUCAAACAAUAACAAAUAUCUUAAAGAUAUUUCCAUCCUUGCCACCACCAAAUCCUCAAACUUGAAAAGAAGAACAUUUUCAAUGCCAGAAGUCAAAUCUUAGAUAUCUCAAAAAUAUCAAACAAAGUAUUCUAGAGAAAAUUUUUAUGACUCUCAUGUUCUUUGGUACCAACUCUUAACAAUUCAUUAAUAGAAGGUUUCUCUACAAAGAAAAAAAUGAGGAAGAGGAAUGGUACUAUUUUUUGCUUAAAACUACAUAAAUAAUCAGGAAGGGAAUGCAGCAAAUUAAAAAGUUGGAUAAAAACUGACCUCUAAAAACCGGACCAUGUGAUUUAUAUAUAAUUCAGAUUGGACGAAUUAAAAAAUAAAGGCUAGAAUACAUUCCAACAAUAUGAAAUAAAUCAAAAAUUAAUAGACAUAUCUCAAUUACUAACUGAAAUUUUUAAAGUAAAAGUUCAUUCUUAUCAAUUUUGUGCUUCAACUCCUACUUAAUUAAAGCACACCUGAGAAUGGUUUUUGAGGUCCAUCUUCAAUAUCUUAUCAUUUAAAUUCUUUGAAAUACUCAAAUUAGUAGCAUAAUCCAGUUUGGCCCUUGUCGUUUGAGAAUUGACUUCCCACUUCCCUGGCAAAUAAUGAACGGAAUCAUCACAAGGGCAAAACAUAGGUCUUAAAAAAAAUAGCAUGGGUGAUGAGUAUGAAAUAUGUUAUAUUUUUAUUCUUUAAUACUUAAUUUUUUAUAUUUAUUUUGUGCCUAAAUACACUCAUUGUUCUUAUAUUUUUAUUUUAGGUAUAAUUGAAAAUUUCCGUGAAUUUGAAAAUAAUUUGAAGACAAAUUGAGUAUUAUUGGAUUAAAGGAGCUAAUAUUCAAGUGGGUCACGAAUUAUUCAAUUGGAGAAAGAAUUCCUAGCAAUCAAAAGCAAUGCACGGAUUCCAAACUAAUAUUAUGGGCAACAUGAGAUCCUAGCCCAAUUAAUGCUCCAACAUAACAAGUACCCAUCCAAUCCUUUUAAAUUAAUAUUACAAAUCAUGUGGGCCACAGUUUGCUUUUGUUUUCAUGCAGCAAACUUGCAAUCCUUACAUUUAUUCACGUGGGCAAUAUAUUCAUGGAUUCUAAUUCUAAUUGGAAGAGGAUCCACUAAGUCACAAAGAAUUUAGCAGCUUCACGCGACAUGGAAAAAUCCGAACGCGGCAUGGAGAGUUGGCACAAGGCAUAUUGUGGAAUUUAAUUCCAAUUUCAAAUCUGAUUUUUGGAUUCUAGAAAAUUAAUUUUUACAAUUCUAUUGUAAUUAGGAUUUCUUUUAGACUAAGAUUUAUUUCCAAGUUGAAUUCUAUUUCUCUAUGGAAAUUAGUGUAAUUUGUAAUUUCUUUAGGAUUUGGAUUUCUACUUCCUAUAGGAUUUAGGACUUUGUCUAGCACUAUAAAUAGAGGAUGAGAGUCGGGGUUUUAUUCAUUCAACAAUCAAUUAUCAUCUAUUAGAGUGCACACUCAAGAGUAUGUCAGGCUAGUUCUUUUCAUUCAGUUCUAAAGGGAGGUAGAACCUUGUUACAAGUAAUUAAUUAAUUGAGUAUUAUUAUUUAUUACUUCUUGUGUGAAAUUUCUUUUGAUAAUCUGUUUUCAUUGAUUGCACGCUAAUUGAUCUAAUUAAUUUAAUAUGGUCAAUUGAGUUAGUUUGGUCGUUAUCAUAUGCUAGAUUAAGAUUGGUAUUACGUGUAAUUGAUAACUAUCUUCGUCACUAGUAGUAACUUGAUAAUAAUAAUUAUGGACAAGCUUUUGUUUAUUGCUAAGAUUAUCAAAAAACAAGUUAAACAAAUCGAGCUUAUGCGUUUGUUACUUGGAUUAGCCUAAUUCUCUAUUUCUUAAUGCUUCUAUCAUAUUAAAUCUAGAGAGCUUAUUAUAGGUUGUAUGCUAGUUAGAAUCUAGUGGAGAGCUUGUUUCAUAUAGUGAUAAUCUAAGGAGAAUUUCGGAUAGCAGAGCUUAUUGUUAUCUAGGGCUAAUAAUUUCAUUGAAGGGAAAAAAAUAAUUAAUUGAUUAAUUGAUUGUUGUACUUGGUGAAACUGAACUGCAGAACUGAAGUUUUUACAUAUUUGGUUAAAUCAUUAAUUCUUGUUCUCUUAGUUUAAAAAUAAUUUUCAAAAACCCCCAUCUUUAUUUUCUAUCAAAAUAAUAGAAUAAAUAUAAAACAAAUUACUCUCUGUGGGAUCGAUCCUUACUUACUAAUAGAACUCUCAGGGAUGGCGAUUCAAAACAACAAUAGAACUCUCAGCGAGUUGGCAACUCCUAAUUUAAAUAAACAACCUCUGUGCAAUGAAUAUCCUAAUUUAGAUGUUGCAUUUGAACUUAAAUCAGGACUAAUCCAUUUACUGCCUACUUUUCGUGGUCUUACAGGUGAGGACCCUUUCAAACAUCUAAAGGAAUUUCAUGUGGUGUGCUCUACUAUGAAACCACAUGGAAUCACCGAAGAGCAAAUCAAGUUGAGAGCAUUCCCAUUCUCCCUAGCAGAUUUGGCAAAGGAUUGGUUGUACUACCUACCCUCAGGUUCAAUACAGUCUUGGAAUGACAUGAAGCAGUUGUUCUUGGAGAGAUACUUUCCAGCCUCAAGAGUAGCCAACAUAAGGAAGGAGAUCUGUUAGAUUAGACAAUUCAGUGGGGAGACACUAUACGAGUAUUGGGAAAGAUUCAAAAAGCUUUAUUCUAGCUGUCCACCGCAUCAAAUAGAUGAACAAUACCUGAUCCAAUAUUUCUACGAAGGGUUGGCACCGAUGGAUAGAAGCAUGAUCGAUGCAGCUAGCGAAGGGGCACUAGUUGACAAGACCCCAAAGGCUGCAAGGAAUUUAAUUGUAAACAUGGUAGCAAACUCGCAACAAUAUGGCACUAGAACAAAUCAUGCACCAGUAAGGGUAAGCGAGGUAAGCACUUGUGAUUAUGGUCAACAAAUUUCUGAAUUAACUGCUAUGGUUAGACAAUUAGCUACAGGUCAACUUCCAGUUGCAAAGGUUUGUGAAAUAUGUUUACAAUCAAAUCACAAUACAGAUCAAUGCCCAACAUUACAAGAUGACGAGGCUGUGCAACAAGCUAAUGCAAUGGGAAAUUAUUAGCCACCUCCUCAGAGAAAGUAUGAUCCGUACUCAAACACGUAUAACCCAGGAUGGAGGGAUCAUCUAAAUCUGAGUUAUGGGAGCAAGCAAGCGGCACCACCUGCAUUUCCACCUAGACAGCAGGGCUUCCAACCAGCCUAACCUCAAUAUCAACCGAAGCAAGCAGUCCCUGCACCUACUGGAACAUCAUUGGAGGAUAUGUUCAAAGCAUUCAUGGGACAAACACAACAAUUCAUGCAAGAGACAAAAACUUCGGUUCAAGAUUUGAGGAACCAAUUAGGACAAUUGGCUACAACUGUGGGGAUAUUGGAAUCCAGAGGCUCAGGAAAAUUACCAUCUCAAACAGUAGUCAACCCAAGGGAGAAUGCAAGUGCCAUAACUUUACGGAAUGGAACACAGUUGGAUACACCACCGACCCCCGUAGAGUUCGAGAAGGAAGCAGCUAAGGAAGAAACAAAAAAAUCCAAGGUGCAACCUAACCCUCCUAAUCAGCUUAAAAACAUUCCUCUUCCCUUUCCUCCCAGAAAUUCUAAAACCUCAAAGAAAGAUGAAAAAAAAAAAGAAAUUUCGAAAACUUUUAGAAAAGUAGAAGUGAACAUCCCUCUUCUUGAUGUAAUUAAACAAGUACCAUGGUAUGCUAAAUUUUUAAAAGAAUUAUGCACUAAUAAAAGAAAAUUGCAAAAUGAUGAAAGAGUCACAGUUGGAGAAAAUGUAUCUGUUGUUCUUCAAAGAAAAAUGCCUCCUAAAUGUAAAGAUCCAGGAAUGUUCACAAUCCCAUGCAAAAUAGGAAACAUCAGAUUUGAAAAAGGCAUGCUAUAUUUAGGAGCUUCAAUUAAUGUUAUGCCUUUAUCUGUUUAUGCCUCCUUAAAUCUAGGCCCUUUGAAAAAUACUGGUGUGAUUAUCCAAUUGGCAGAUCGUACUAACACCUACCCCCGAGGGGUAAUUGAAGAUGUCUUAGUGCAGAUGAACGAACUAAUCUUUCCUGCAGAUUUUUACAUUGUGGAUAUGGAAGAUGAUACAUCACCAAACCCUUCCCACAUCUUGUUAGUAAAACCCUUCCUAAAAACAGCAAGAACUAUGAUUGAUGUGCAUAAUGGGACCUUGACUAUGGAGUUUGAUGAUGAGAAAAUUUAGUUUAACAUCUAUGAUGCCAUGAGGUACCCUACUGAUAUAGGACAGGUUUUUGCUAUCGAUGUGAAAGACUCCUUGGUGCAUAGAGCUUUUGAACAACUACAUAGGGACAGUUUAGAAAUUGCAAUCACCAACAGUUUGGACAUGGACAGGGAAGAAGAGAUUACGCAAACCCAAGAAUUGAAGGAGAAUGUAGCUGCAUUACAUUCAUUGCCAAAAUUCUCAAAUAAGUUAGCAGUACAUUCUAUUUAAUUUCUUGUUUCUCAUCAAAAGUUAUUACCUUCUGUUGUACAAGCCCCAACUCUAGAAUUGAAACAAUUACCUGCUCAUUUGAAAUAUGCAUAUUUGGGGACUAAUGACACUUUGCCUGUAAUUAUUGCUAGUAAUCUAACCAAGGUGCAGGAAGAAAAAUUGCUGAGAGUCCUAAAGCACCAUGUUACAGUUUUUGGAUGGACAAUAGCGGAUAUCAAGGGUAUUAGUCCUGCCAUGUGCAUGCAUCGGAUAUUGUUAGAGGAUGGAGCUAAGCCUACAAGAGAUGCGCAAAGGAGAUUGAAUCCAUCCAUGAUGGAGGUGGUGAAAAAAGAAGUGCUCAAAUUGCUUGAUGUCGGUAUCAUCUAUCCCAUCUCCGAUAGUCAAUGGGUGAGUCCAGUGCAGGUAAUCCCAAAGAAAUCCGGAAUCACCAUUGUCAAGAAUUAUGAUAAUGAGUUGGUGCCCACACGAAUGCAAACAGGGUGGAGAGUAUGUAUAGAUUAUAGAAAAUUGAAUGUUGUAACAAGAAAGGAUCACUUUCCUCUUUCUUUUAUUGAUCAAAUGUUGGAGAGAUUAGUUGGGCACACUUAUUAUUGUUUUCUAGAUGGUUUUUCAGGAUAUAACCAGAUUGUGAUUGCACCCGAGGACCAAGAGAAGACCACAUUCACAUGUCCCUUUGGUACUUUUGCCUAUCGACGGAUGUCUUUUGGACUGUGUAAUGCCCCAAGUACUUUUCAACGAUGCAUGGUAAGCAUUGUUUUCAAAUCUUUUAGAAGAAUGCUUCGAGGUUUUUAUGGAUGAUUUUACAAUUCAUGGUGAUUCUUUGGAUGCAUGCUUAGAUAAUUUAAAUCGUGUUCUAGAUAGAUGCAUGGAAACUAAUCUUGUUUUAAAUUGGGAAAAAUGUCAUUUCAUGGUAGAACAGGGAAUAGUACUUGGACAUGUUAUGUCAUCUAAAGGUCUUGAAGUUGAUAAAGCUAAGAUAAAUGUUAUAUCUGCUUUGCCUUACCCCGUCAGCGUGCGGGAGAUUCGCUCUUUUCUUGGUCAUGCAAGAUUUUAUCGAAUAUUUAUCGAGGACUUCUCGAAGAUUGCAUUACCCUUAUGUAAGUUGCUACAAAAAGAUGUGGACUUUCAGUUUGAUGGUGAAUGCAAGGAGGCUUUUGACACUUUAAAGAAAUUAUUAACUUCUGCCCCUGUCAUUCAACUGCCAAAUUAGAAGUUGUCAUUUGAGAUCAUGUGUGACGCAAGCAACUAUGCAGUGGGGGCUGUUUUGGGACAAAGGAUUGACAAAGCCGUUCAUGCCAUCUACUAUGCUUCGAGGACUUUGAAUGAGGCUCAGAUAAACUAUUCCACAACUAAAAAAGAACUUUUAUCUGUGGUUUUUGCUUUAGAUAAAUUUCAAUCAUAUUUGCUUGGUACUAAAAUUAUAGUUUAUUCUGACCAUGCUGCUCUCAGGUAUUUGCUCACCAAGAAAGAUUCUAAAUCAAGGAUUAUUCGAUAGAUUCUGCUCUUACAAGAAUUUGACUUAGAGAUCAAGGAUAAAAAAGGUGCGGACAACUUAGUAGCAGAUCACUUGAGUAGGUUAUUGAGAGACGAGGAAGAGCUACCGUUACAUGAUUCUUUCCCGGAUGAGCAGUUACUUUCCAUCCAUGCUGAGAUUCCCUGGUAUGCAGAUAUGGUGAAUUAUUUGGUAAGUGCAUAUUUUCCUAAAGAAUUUUCCAAAUCCUAAAAGGAAAAGUUAAAAAGUGAUGCUAGACACUAUGUUUGGGAUGAUCCAUACUUGUGGAAAUUUGUGCUGACCAGAUAGUUAGACGAUGUGUGCCUAACAGUGAAUUUCAAUCUAUUCUUUCCUUUUGUCAUUCUUAUGCUUGUGGAGGACAUUUUGGUCCAAAAAGAACUGCUAAUAAAGUUUUGGAAAGUGGUUUUUAUUGGCCAUCGCUUUUUAAAGAUUCCUAUUUGUUUUGUAAAACAUGUGUUAAUUGCCAAAGGACGGGGAAUAUUUCUCAACAAAAUCAAAUGCCCCAAACUCCUAUAUUAGUUGUUGAGAUUUUUGAUGUAUGGGGUAUAGAUUUUAUGGGACCUUUUUCCUUCAUCAUUUGGGAAUUUAUUCAUUCUUUUGGCUGUUGAUUAUGUCUCAAAAUGGGUGGAAGUUAAAGCCACUAGGACUGACGAUUCUAAAGUUGUUGCAGAUUUUGUUAGGACUAACAUAUUUGUCAGGUUUGGAACACCACGAGCCAUCAUUAGUGAUCGCGGAACCCACUUUUGCAACAGGGUGUUAGCGGUUUUGUUCACGAAAUACAAUGUUCUGCGCAGAGUAAUGGUCAAGUUGAGGUGUCUAACAGAGAGAUAAAAUCCAUUUUGGAGAAGGUAUUCAACCCGAGCAGAAAGGAUUGGAGUAUGAGAUUAGAUGAUGCACUUUGGGCCUAUAGAACUGCGUAUAAAACAACUAUUGGGAUGUCACCAUACAGGAUUGUGCUUGGAAAACCAUGCCACUUACCUGUUGAGUUGGAGCAUAGGGCUUUUUGGGCAAUCAAGCAGUGCAACAUGAGUUUGGAGGCAGCUGGAGUACACAGGAAAUUACAGUUACAAGAGUUAGAAGAAUUGAGGAAUGAAGCCUAUGAAAGUUCAAAGAUUUUCAAGGAAAAGACCAAAGUUUUUCAUGAUAUGCAGAGCGGAAAACCUUUAUUGUGGGACAGUUUUGCUAUAUCAUUCUCGGAUUAAGUUAUUUCCAGGUAAAUUGAGAUUUAGAUGGGUUGGUCCUUUUGUUAUCACUAAUGUGUUUCCUCAUGGUGCAAUUGAGAUUCAAAGCCCGAGCACAAGCAAGAUCUUUAAGGUGAAUGGACAUAGAUUAAAGCCUUUCUAUGAGGGGCAUCAGGUGGAAAAUAUUGAGAUGGUGGAGCUAGACGAUCCGAUCUAUGAAAGCUGAGAAGAGAGGCAUGACGUUGAGCCAAAGACGUUAAACACGGGCAGCUGCUUGGGAGGCAAUCCAAGAUCUCAGAUUUGAUUUUUCUAUCCCUUCACUUUUUAGUUUUUUUUAUUGUAUGUUAGCUAGUAGUAUUUUCUUCUUCGCAUGAUUUUUUUACAUUGGGGACAGUGUAAGGUUUGAGUGUGGGGGGGGGGGGAGAUUUAGGUUUUAUUUUAUGUAGGAAUAAUAAUCCAAUUUUGAUGGGAAGUUCAAAAAAUUGAAAAAAAUCUGAUUUUUUUUUUUUGAAAACUUGGGUUCCAUGGUUCUAUUUGCCUAUGUGUUCGAAGGUUAAAGUCAAAGAUUGAAAAUUGAUACUAAAAUUCAUAAUCUGGUUGAUGCUUAAUUUGUUAAUGAAUGAUGACAACUAAGCCAUGAUCCAUAGUAAUUGAUUUAAAUUGAAUUUGUGAUACAUGAGUACUUGAAUAUGAGAAGCAUGUUUAUUUGCCUAAGUUAAUUGUGGAGUUGUCUAUGUGCACUGAUUUCAUGACUUAGAACUGUUUAACUUGUUUAUGUUGUUGCAGAACCAUGUGAAAAAAAUGAUGAAUGAAAAAAAAAAGGAAAAAAAUGAAAAUUGAAAAUCUGCUUCAAUGUCCAUUGUGCGAAUAACUGGGUAUCUAAGCCUCGAGAAGCAUCGGUAUUCAUGCUAAAAAGUGUGAUGGAUAAAAGUAGCUUGACUAGUCGACUUUUGUGACCUUUGUUACUUGAAUAAGUAAGCCUUAGGGGUGUCUCUACACCUAGCGCCUUAAGAUCAUCUGGUUUGGGAGUCGUUGGUGGAAAGUUCGCUAAUGGGCAACUCUGAAAGCCUAAGAAAAUGAGACAUUGCACAUGUCAAGAAAAGAAAAAAAAUAAUACGAGAAAAGCAUGAAAAUACAUUCAUCUGUGCUAAAGAGGAUGUUCUAUAGAAAAAAAUUAAAAAGUAAGAAAAAUUUGUUCUUGGUUGUGAGUCAGUGUGCAUGGUUUUUGCUUCAUGGUAACUAAGUUGAGUAAGUAUGUAGAUUUUGGGAAAGUUACUUAUGUGGCUACAAUUUGGUUUAAUGAAAUUCAUUGGUGAAAUAGUAAGGUUUUUCAUUGUGAGUUAACUGAUAAGACAUUGAUUAGAAUUUUGCAAAUUUAGUUUUGAUAAUCAUGAUUUGUAUCUUGAAAUCUUUUGACAUGAUGGUUGAAUAGAAUUUUCUGGAAAUCAAACUUUUGAUUUACACGAGGACAAGUAAAAAGAUAAGUGUGGGGGAAUUUGAUGAGUAUGAAAUAUGUUAUAUUUUUAUUCCUUAAUACUUAAAUCUUUUAUAUUUAUUUUGUGCCUAAAUACACUCAUUGUUCUUAUAUUUUUAUUUUAGGUACAAUUGAAAAAUUCCGUGAAUUUGGAAAUAAUUUGAAGACAAAUUGAGUAUUAUUGGAUUAAAGGAGCUAAUAUUCAAGUGGGCCACGAAUUAUUCAAUUGGAGAAAGAAUUCCUAGCAAUCAAAAGCUAUGCACUGAUUCCAAACUAACAUUAUGGGCAACAUGAGAUCCUAGCCCAAUUAAUGCUCCAACAUAACAAGCACCCAUCCAAUCCUUUUAAAUUAAUAUUACAAAUCAUGUGGGCCACGGCUUGCUUUUGUUUUCAUGCAGCAAACUUGCAAUCCUUACAUUUAUUCAUGUGGGCAAUAUAUUCAUGGAUUCUAAUUCUAAUUGGAAGAGGAUUCACUAAGUCACAAAGAAUUCAGCAGCUUCACGCGACAUGGAAAAAUCCGAACGCAGCAUGGAGAGUUGGCUCACGGCAUAUUGUGGAAUUUAAUUCCAAUUUCAAAUCUAAUUUUUGGAUUCUAGAAAAUUAAUUUUUACAAUUCUAUUGUAAUUAGGAUUUCUUUUAGACUAAGAUUUAUUUCCAAGUUGAAUUCUAUUUCUCUAUAGAAAUUAGUGUAAUUUGUAAUUCCUUUAGGAUUUGGAUUUCUACUUCCUAUAGGAUUUAGGACUUUGUCUAGCACUAUAAAUAGAGGAUGAGAGUCAGGGUUUUAUUCAUUCAACAAUCAACUAUCAUCUAUUAGAAUGCAGACUCAAGAGUAUGUCAGGCUAGUUCUUUUCAUUCAGUUCUAAAGGGAGGUAGAACCUUGUUACAAGUAAUUGAUUAAUUGAGUAUUAUUAUUUAUUCCUUCUUGUGUGAAAUUUCUUUUGAUAAUUUGUUUUCAUUGAUUGCAUGCUAAUUGAUCUAAUUAAUAUAAUAUGGCCAAUUGAGUUAGUUUGAUCGUUAUCAUAUGCUAGAUUAAGAUUGGUAUUACGUGUAAUUGAUAUCUGUCUUCGUUGUCUUCGUCACAAGUAGCAACUUGGUAAUAAUAAUUGUGGACAAGCUUCUGUUUAUUGCUAAGAUUAUCAGAAAACAAGUUUAAAAAAUCGAACUUAUAUGUUUGUUACUUGGAUUAGCCUAAUUCUCUAUUUCUUAAUGCUUCUAUCAUAUUAAAUCUAGAGAGCUUAUUCUAGGUUGUAUGCUAGUUAGAAUCUGGUGGAGAGCUUGUUUCAUACAGUGCUAAUCUAAGGAGAAUUUCGGAUAGCAGAGCUUAUUGUUAUCUAGGGCUAAAAAUUUCAUUGAAGGGAAAAUAAUAAUUACUUGAUUAAUUGAUUGUUGUACUUGGUGAAACUGAACUGCAGAACUGAAGUUUUUACAUAUUUGGUUAAAUCAUUAAUUCUUGUUCUCUUAGUUUAAAAAUAAUUUUCAAAAACCCCCCAUCUUUAUUUUCUAUCAAAAUAAUAGAAUAAAUAUAAAACAAAUUAUUCUAUGUGGGAUCGAUCCUUACUUACCACUGUGCUAAUUGUUUGAAUUUGUAAAGUAAAAGUGAGUUAAUUUAGGAGUGUAAAUGACAGCUCCCAAUGGGUUAGUAUUAACAUCAGCAAAAAAAAGGGAUAAAGGAUAACCACAUGUGGGUCCAAAAUAAUUCUAUCUAACAUAUGUAAACAUUAAAAAAUUGUACAAGUACAAUCAUCUGUAUCAAUUACCAUGGCAUGUAUAUAGUGGAGUAAUAAAAGAAGUAAGUUUAGUAUAAGCUAUGUCACAUAAGGCAAAUAAAACAGAGCAAUCUCCUAGCAGGAUAAUGAUCACUAACCCGGAAACCAAUUUGCAUACAAACUUCAACCAGUGGCAUAUUGGAUUGUUUGAAGAUUGUUCACAAAAAACUGUCAAGUGUGAAAAAAGUUAGGUAACUCAACUAUAAUCCUAAAGGCAAAUGUUUCGGGGGUUAAGUUGGGUUGACCUUAUACAAGAUGCAAAGGUGAAUCCAUCCUUUGCAUAUGAUGGGCAAUUUUCCACCUUAGCUCUUGAAAAAUCACAAAAUAGAAGGUAUAAUGAACUUAUAUUUUGAACCCCUUGAAUUCUAAAAAAACAUUAACCUUUUAUAUAGAAUUUGAUCCCUUGUCUAUGAUGAACUUAAGUCCCUUACCUUUAGUCUUAAAAAAACACAUUCUAAUUUUUUUUUAACUUUAUUGCAACUACCAUUUGACCCCUUGUGUAAUACUAGCUCCACCUGCCGAGAUGGCUUGUCUAGAUCAGUACUAUAAAGGAAGCCCAAACUCUCCUUCCCAUUUUUUCUUCACAAGUGUUUUACAUUUUAUAUUUUAGAAAAGGAACAUAUUUCAAAUAAACUGAAAAUGCUUGCUUUCAGAUCAUAAGACAUUAUUUCAUAAGAAAGAGAAAUAUCAUCAAUUACUGCAUACUGCACAUUAACAAACAUUCAUAAACUUAAUACACUACCAAGCCAUCUUGAGCAACAUAACAUUAAAGAAACACAAAGAACAUGUCAAAAUUUACAAAAAAAGAGGAAAUAAUCUCCUGCACCUGUCUAAAGUCAACUUCAACAACCCACCAGUGAACACUAACAUGUAAUGCUGAGAGGGAAUGAUUUAAAUGGCAAUAAUACCAGCCACACUCAUGGGAUAAUGCUAUCCAAGAGAGCAUUUUUAGCAGGUUAAAAAUUAAACUAGACUAGACUGCAAAACUUUAUCACAAACAGCUUCUCUUUUUUCCUUUUUUUGGGUAUUUAAUACUUACUUUUAAUCUAAAGUUAAAUUAACCUCUACAUCCCACUUACAAAAUAAAAGAAGGAAACAUUCAGCAAAAAGUUUAUUGUAUGAUCUGCCAAAUAAAAUUCUCCCUAUUUACACAACAUUAGAAGAGAUUCCAAGUAAAAACCUAUGUCUUCUAAUACCUAAAAUCUGAACUUGGGGUUUAAGCUAAACAAAUGGCAAAUGUUCCUAGCCAAAAAAAAAAUCAACCACAAAUAGCAAGCAUAUUCAUUGUGACAAAUUACCGGGAUCAUUAAAAUAUAUAGCACAUGUGGGUUUGGUCUCUUAAGUACAUUAUAUUAUCCUCUCCUUGAUAUGCCUAAAAAAAUUAUAGUAAUCUGUACUAGAUAUCUCAAAUUUCAACAGAUUUCAAGUGUGAACAUAAAUGAGCUCAAUCAGGAUACAAAAGAAGAAACAAUUAACAUAUUUCCCUCUUGUAAAUGAACAGAAGAAGGCUGAGAAGACUAAACUACUAAAAACUGCAAAUUUGGUCAAAUACUCAAAUCUCUAUAGCUCAGAAAUCUGAAGAAAAAAGUUACAAACUGAUCUAAAAAUUCUACUAAAAAAAUUUAUCAAAUUACCAGGAAAAUCAGAUUCAACCAAAGCAUUUGUAGGUAGAAAAAACCCCAUAAAAAUAAAAUUAGAAGAUCUUAAAAGAAGAAUGAAUUGUCGGGCCGGGGACUCGGGGAUAGAAGAUGGGGUCAGUUUUGAGCUAGCAAAUCUAUAAUACCUCUACUGUGGUUUCGUCUCUUCGAGAUUGACUGAUGAUGACCGAUGAAGGGCCGCCGAAGGCGAUGAGGGAGGCGAUGCGCCGAUGGCCGUCGGCGACUUGAGAGUUCGAGAUCUGGUUUUGGGAUGAGAGAUUGAGAGUUCGAGAUCUAGGUACUUGGUCUGGGUUUGGGAAUUGAGAGAAUGAGAGUUACGACUUCAGAGUGGGC